AUUUACUCUGAACUGGAAGCCGUCUUAUAAAAAAGAUGAUGUGCAGGAGUAAAAAGCUAUUGUGAAGGGAAAAGUGAGGUUCAAGAUAAAGUACAGUGGUUCUACAAGGCAGCAUUAGGGACAGUCUCUGAAGAAACCUUUAAUUGGUGGUAUCUGGUGCCAUAAGUUAUUCUUCAGUCUAUUCAUUGUGGAGCUUUCCAUCCUGUUUGUGCUCAGUGAUAAAUAAAGUGGCCUCUGCUUUAUGAAUGGCUAUAAUUAAUUGGAGCUGAAGGAAUAAACAGCAUAGAAACCAGAUCACAGGAUCACAGGAGGGUGAGGGAAGAAGGGGAAGACACUCACUCAUUGAAAAGGAUCCAUUGACAUCAUCUCUUCCUGACCUGAAACACAUCAUACCAACUGAGGAUAAUGUGACCUUCAAACUCUGGCAUGGCACAGAAAAAGGCAUUCCAUGUUGGUCUUUAGGAAUCUUCUCCCCAAGAAGAAAAAGGUCAGUUAUAAAGACAUCCUUCCAGAAGAGAGGAACAUUCUGGAUCCUGCUCAGGGAGAAAGAUGAAGAUCUAGCUGAAUAUAGAAGUAAGAGGGACCAUAGCCAUACAGGCCAGGCUUCCUAACCACUGUGUUCAGGGUCUGUGUUCUAUGUGUUAACUGUGUUCUAUGACAUCUCAUGAGGAAGAGAACAAAGAAAUAAUGUUCAGACCAGUGAUACUUUUCCCAUUAAAUUAUUCCCAUUAAAGUCUUGUAUGUAUCAAAUAAAUGCAAUACUUUUCCAGAUCAAAAUAUCAGCCAUUUCCUACAUAAAAAUAACAGCAAGGUAACAUAUUUGAUAAUCCCACUGAUGAAAUAUGAUGUUGUGGUUCCCUGAUUUUAGGGGGGCUUCUGUUCCAACAAUGAGUCAGGAAAUCUUAAAUCUUUUGGUUUUGGAGUUUGUCUCAGAGACUUCCUACAAUUCCCAAUCUGAGAACAACAAUCUGUCUAAUUCUGAAUAGACUAUUUUCCAGUUUGUUGAUGACUGAUAAUCUUAUCAAUGGAAACCAAGUUCCAGAACCACCCCCAUUUCAUUGCUGACUAAUAAUCUGGUCAUUGAGAACCAAAUUCCAGAGACUACUCCCUAGACCUAUCCUUGGGCCAUAGAAUUAAUAUGCCAAUGGUAGAACCAAAUUCUGGAGACCAUUCCUUCCUACCUAUGAGCCAUAGAAUUAACAUAUCUAUGAUUGAAAGCUGGAUAAAUGUAUCUCCUUGCUUCUCUUUCUCUGUGGAAAUUCCUUAGAAUUCCAGCCCACAGUUGUAAUGGCCUUAUUACUGC
rnacentral:lncRNA from 1 species